GUGCCAGCAGCCGCGGUAAUACGGAGGGUGCAAGCGUUAAUCGGAAUUACUGGGCGUAAAGCGCGCGUAGGUGGCUUGAUAAGCCGGUUGUGAAAGCCCCGGGCUCAACCUGGGAACGGCAUCCGGAACUGUCAGGCUAGAGUGCAGGAGAGGAAGGUAGAAUUCCCGGUGUAGCGGUGAAAUGCGUAGAGAUCGGGAGGAAUACCAGUGGCGAAGGCGGCCUUCUGGACUGACACUGACACUGAGGUGCGAAAGCGUGGGUAGCAAACAGGAUUAGAUACCCUGGUAGUCCACGCCGUAAACGAUGUCGACCAGCCGUUGGGUGCCUAGAGCACUUUGUGGCGAAGUUAACGCGAUAAGUCGACCGCCUGGGGAGUACGGUCGCAAGAUUAAAACUCAAAGGAAUUGACGG
rnacentral:rRNA from 1 species